GACGGACUUAGUGAUCCGGUGGUUCCGCAUGGAAGGGCCAUCGCUCAACGGAUAAAAGCUACCCCGGGGAUAACAGGCUUAUCUCCCCCAAGAGUUCACAUCGACGGGGAGGUUUGGCACCUCGAUGUCGGCUCAUCGCAUCCUGGGGCUGUAGUCGGUCCCAAGGGUUGGGCUGUUCGCCCAUUAAAGCGGUACGCGAGCUGGGUUCAGAACGUCGUGAGACAGUUCGGUCCCUAUCCGUCGUGGGCGUAGGAAAUUUGAGAGGAGCUGUCCUUAGUACGAGAGGACCGGGAUGGACAUACCUCUGGUGUACCAGUUGUCGUGCCAACGGCAUAGCUGGGUAGCUAUGUGUGGACGGGAUAAGUGCUGAAAGCAUCUAAGCAUGAAGCCCCCCUCAAGAUGAGAUUUCCCAACUUCGGUUAUAAGAUCCCUCAAAGAUGAUGAGGU
rnacentral:rRNA from 1 species